CCUUCUCUGGAGACAUUCAAAGAUAACAUGGAUAAGUUCCUGUGCAACCUGCUCUACGUGGACCUGCUCUGGCAGGGGGUUGGCCUAGAUGAUCUCCAGAGGUCCCUUCCAAUUGUAUAUCAUUCUGUGAUUCUGUGAUGACAUUGUUCUGGAGAACUUCCAUGGUGUGAAGCAGAGCAUGAAUCCCUGACCAGGAAGACUCUUGUCAUCUCAAGAGAAUGCCAGUAGAACCAGUUCCUAUCAAUCUGCAGAGCGGGAAGAUUUCUUCCGUUGAAGUGUUGUUAUAGCAGAGGUGGUUUGAUAUAUGAUCACAGUCAUAUAUUUGUGUUAUUUCAUGAGCUUUUGGGCCUUAAUGCAGUAGGAAAAGCCUCUACAAGGCUUUUACUGAGAGCAAAAUUCCACUUUUUAAAGUGCUGCAGCGCGUUAUGCUGUUACAAGUUGAGCAAACACCUUAUCUUUCACCAGAGCGGGAAGAUUUCUUCCGUUGAAGUGUUGUUAUAGCAGAGGUGGUUUGAUAUAUGAUCACAGUCAUAUAUUUGUGUUAUUUCAUGAGCUUUUGGGCCUUAAUGCAGUAGGAAAAGCCUCUACAAGGCUUUUACUGAGAGCAAAAUUCCACUUUUUAAAGUGCUGCAGCGCGUUAUGCUGUUACAAGUUGAGCAAACACCUUAUCUUUCACCUCCAGAUUUUUCCCUUUUUUUUUUUUUUUGUUUUUAAAUACUUCACAUUCAUGUGGUAUAUAGUGACGAAGCCACGUUCAGCAAAACUGCUCGGCCCAGGUCCUGCAUUUGGGGAAAAUACUCUGUUUCUCUGGUUUUUCUCCACCCGGAUGGCACCGGAGGAGCAGCACGGCCCGUUUUGUGUUCCCAGGUGACUUCCAGAGGUGCGUCCUCCCCCGGCUUUUGUGCUGCAGCCUCUUAAUUGUUCCUUUCAUUUGGCAGCCCGGAGGAUACAGAAGCUUCCAAGUCUCAAACGGGGAGCUGCAGCGUGUGAGAAAAAAAAAAAAAAAAAAGAGAAAGGAUUUCCCUUUUUUAACAGUAAACUGCAAAGUUUCACUGCCAGCAGUCUAAAAUUUUGGUGUCAGCAAGGAGAUAACGAGCUGGAAGGCUUUUCCAUCCGGAUCCUCUCUCGCUGCCCUCGUCACGGCUUCCCGAGUCGCCUUUUGCCGGUUCCCACAAAAGCUGCUGUUCCACUUGGGCUGCUCCAGUCCCUGAAAUCCCAGUUUCCUUCUUGCUGCUUGAAAUUGCUUUGCUGGAAACAGCUGGGACUGAUUCAGCCGAAAAUUCACCCGGAGCUCGAAACGGAGUACAGUUCUUCUGAGAUGUCCCAAAGUCCUGGAGCUCCACAGACAGCCCAAUAUUUUUACGAGCAGAAGAACCCAAAUGUCUCAAACCUGGGAGUUUGAGGAAAAAGGUCAAUAUCUAGAUUUAAACAACUGCAAUAUAUUCUCAGAAUACUUACCUUGUAUACACAGUUCCUUUCAGAUUUCUCCUGUGGUGGCACAUGGUGUGAAAAUGCAUUUUAAAGAUAAAUGAAGCUGAAAUAGAUUGGAGAGCAGGGUAAGGAGGAAGAACUUCUUCACUUUGAGGGUGGCAGAGCCCUGGAAGAGGCUGCCCAGAGAGGUGGUGGAGUCUCCUUCUCUGGAGACAUUCAAACCCCACCUGGACAUGUUCCUGUGCAACCUGCUCUGGGUGGACGUGCUCUGGCAGGGGGUUGGACUAGAUGAUCUCCAGAGGUCCCUUCCAACCCCAUAUCAUUCUGUGAUUCUGUAAGCAGUUUAAAAAAACCAAAACAACACAAACACAACCAAAAAGUAACAAAACAGAAGGAAAUACAUGUUCAGUAAGAAGGGAAAGGGCAGAGAAUGGCAGCAAGAGAUAGACCUGUUAAAACAUAACGUAUUUAUAAUGGAUGUUCUACCAGGGCAUGUAGCAACAGGACAAGGGGUAACGGUUUUAAACUGGAAGAGGGGAGAUUUAGAUGAGAUCUCAGGAAGAAAUUCUUUGCUGUGAGGGUGGUGAGACACUGGAACAGGUUGCCCAGAGAAGCUGUGGCUGCCCCAUCCCUGGAGGGGUUCAAGGAUCAACUCAUCAAGGAUCUGCCUGGACACAGCUUCAUAAGAAGAGAUUUGGAGGUUGUAGCGAGGGGUGGUCUGUCUCUUCUCCCAAGGAACAGGUGAUGUGACAAGAGGAAAUGCCCUCAAGUUGCCCCAGGGGAGGUUUAGGAUGGAUAUUAGGAAAAAUUUCUUCACUGAAAGGGUUGUCAAGCCUUGGAAGAGGCUGCCCAGGGCAGUGGUGGAGCCACCAUCCCUGGAGGUAUUUAAAAGCUGGGCAGCCGUGCUGAGGGACAUGGGUUAGUGGUGGUUUGGGCAGUGUUGGGUUGAUGGUUGGACUCAAUGAUCUCAA
rnacentral:lncRNA from 1 species